GUUUGAAACCUGAGAGACAGGCGAGUGUGACUGAAGGGAGGAGAGACCAGGUUGGUCAUGUGAUGCACAUAUAAACAGAUCAUCCUCCAUAAAACGUACAUCACUCACACUCUUCAUCCUAAAGAAAGACUUCAUCCUUUAAUCAGCCAUGAAGAAGCUCUACAAGUGCCUGUGGAUCUUACUGGGGUUUUUAUUGAUUGAGGAAAUGGCACGUGGACAAAAAGAGAAUGUAGCACGAUUGGGCAAAACUACUCAGUCAUCAACUUUAGAAGGAUAUUAUCCUGAAUGGGCUCUUGAUGGAUUUUUCAACACUUUUACCCACACUAACCCUGAAACCAACCCAUGGUGGAGAGUGGAUCUACUGAAAGUGUACAAAGUGAACAGAGUGACCAUCACUAAUAGAUCGAGCAAUGAUUUUAGGAUUAAUGGAGCGGUGAUUUGUAUCGGGAACUUUCUUGACAUUUACAGCAACACCAUAUGUGGUGUGAUUUCUACUCUUGGAGCCGGUGCCACAGCCACUUUCUCAUGCGGUGGGAUGGUGGGUCGUUAUAUAGUUGUUCAUAUUCCUGGAGAUCAGAAGAUUCUUAAUAUUGCUGAAGCUGGAGUCUACGGGUAUUUAGCAGGAAAUCGGGCAAUAGGAGGAGCCACUAUACAGUCGUCAACAUCCGCAGACUGGGUUGCUGAAAAGGCCGUUGAUGGUAAUCGAGGUCUCCAGCAGCUGUAUACGGGAUGCUCCUCAACCCUUAAUGAGACAGACCCGUGGUGGAGGCUGGAUCUGCAUGAUGUCUACCGAGUUAAUAAAGUGGUCGUCACUAAUAGAAAAGACUGCUGUGCAGAACAAAUAAACGGAGCAGAGAUUCACAUCGGAAACUCUUUGGAGAACAACGGCAUCAACAAUCCCAUAUGUGCUGUUAUUCCUGCUAUUCCAGCAGGUGAGUCCUACAGCUACUCAUGUGAUGGACUGGAUGGACAUUACGUGAUUAUUCAUAUUCCUGGAGACAUGAAGAUACUCACUCUGUGUGAGGUUGAAGUCUACGGGUAUUUGGCUGAAAAUCUGGCAGUAUCUGGAGCUGCUAUACAGUCGUCAACAUCUGUGGACUGGUUUGCUGAAAAGGCCAUUGAUCGAGGUCUCCAGCAGCUGUAUACGGGAUGCUCCUCAACCCUUAAUGAGGCAGACCCAUGGUGGAGGCUGGAUCUGCAUGAUGUCUACCGAGUUAGUAAAGUGGUCGUCAGUAAUAGAAAAGACUGCUGUGCAGAACAAAUAAACGGAGCAGAGAUUCGAAUCGGAAACUCUUUGGAGAACAACGGCAUCAACAAUCCCAUAUGUGCUGUUAUUCCUGCUAUUCCAGCAGGUGAGUCCUACAGCUACUCAUGUGAUGGAUUAGAGGGACGUUACGUGAUUAUUCAUAUUCCUGGAGACAUGAAGAUACUCACUCUGUGUGAGGUGAAGGUCUAUGGAGAAGGUCCCUGUUUAAAAAGAUCAUUUGUAAAACUGCUGUUUCGCUCCAGCAAAGAUUUGACCGACUCUACAAUGAGAGAAAACGUUCUGGAACAGAAUUAGCAAAGCAUCGUCUGCAGCGAACGGCUGGUAAGGGACUACAACAAAAUACUUCCGGGUUAGUGACAUCAUAAACCCUGCCCCCAGGAACAUGCAACGAAGGGGGUGAGGCCAUGCUGCGCUGCUUCAGAGAAGAGGAAGAAAACUUGGGGUGCAUGUAAAAAUCUAUUCAUAUACUGUAUGAACCGCGAUUCUUUCUUCUAAUGAUUCUAAUGUAUUCAAAAGUUUCAAAAUCAAUGUUCUAGCAGCGGUUCUUAAUACUGUUCCUCACGUCACCCUGCUCUGCAUCUCUCUCUCUCUCUCUCUCUCUCUCAUUCAGAUCAGAAGCUCAGCUCCAACAUCGAACUGUUCCAUUUAUACACUUAUUUUCACAUAGCUAUGACAAGUUAAACAUGGACGGUUGCUGCACUGUAUUAAAGCUUUAAUCAGGAUAAAACCGUAUAUUAAAAGCUAACAUAAGCAGUAGCAUAAUAACAGCGUCUCUAAAAGUAUGAGACAACAACAAACAAAAAACAUAGGCCUACCAUUAAAAGCCGUGCUCUGUGUGAUCCUCUUCACUAAUAUCCUCUGCAUCUCAAUCGAGCUCAAAUUGAUAAGCAAUAUAGAUGACGCCAUUGUUUACAAUACAACCGGAGGCGGUUUAGCCAAUCACAACACACUGGUCCAAGCUAACCAAUCAGAGCCCAUCGUGUAUUUUUGUUAAAAACAAAAUCAGCUGCUGUUCUCCUGUUUUUGGACAUGACACGAGAAAAGAGGAGAGGAAGAUUUGAAUAUCUUGUCAUAUUCUGAUCUAAUCAGUUCAGUAUGAAUGUUAUUUCCAGUUGAGAUCUGCUCUGGCUGAUAGAGGAAUCACAGACGUGACACUGAGGUGGUCACAAACCCCUAAACAGGAAGUGAUGCGGAAAGUGAACGCUGACAAAGGUCGCUGUGAUACAAGACAAUAAUUCCCUGGAAAUCAACAGUGUGUCUGACUCACUAAAUUCACAUUCAUUCAAUUUCUUCAUAAUUUAUGAAAGCCCGCUUCCACCACUGAAUAAAAAAUAAAACAAGUGCCUGAGGUUCGGCCAGCAGGCAUGAGACACAGUCCAUCUUCCCAGGCACUCGACAGCUGCGUAUGAAAUGCAUCAUAUGCUUUUCAACCGCUCCAACCUCUUCUUCCGAACACUUCCUUUUGACACUGACUUUUGAGCCUAAUAAAAAAAAAAAAAUUUUUUUAAAUGUAAUUCCUGAAAUACAAGGCAAAUCAGUCAAAGCCAGAGAAAAGAAAGACCCAUAAAAUAUUGUUACAUACCAACGCUAAUAAUACUCGGUUUUUGAGAGCGCCAUGUCUCAAAAGGGCUUAAGAUACUGUAUAUAUCUAUAAAUGUAAUGCAUCUACAGCAAGUUAGUUCAGCAACAACUCCCUUCCCACCAAAUUACUGAAGUCUAAAUCAUACCUACAUAUUAGGACCAUGGUGAAUACUGAGUCUUGAGCUAUGUGGGAUUACAAAUUUAUUUAAAUGUUUAAUUUAGAUUCCAAUGUAAUAGUGUACAAACUGAAGAAGUUAUAUACAUUGUAUUUAGCAUUUAUGGUGAAGAUGAUGACAUCAGAUGAACGAUUCAAGAGGUCCCUGCCAGUUCCUGUUCUCUUAUUGUAAGUCUAAUGAGCCAGACGACGGAGACUCUUGCCUUUUGUUUGUAAUUGCUCUUGAUGCCCCUGCCCCAAUCUUUGGGCAGUUAGGCUGAUUAGAUUAGGAGUGGUUAAAUGGGGCAGGAUUCUAUACCUGAAUACCUCAUUUGCAUGCUUAAAGGUCGUCACCCAGGUGCUUUGUUUUCACUCCUAAGCACUGCCCCCUAAAUGUAUAUAUAAACUACAAUGUAUCACUGCUUUAAGUUAGACUUGGAUGACUACAGCGACGCACAGCGAGUUCUCAAUAAACAGUAACUUCUGUAUGAAAGAUAUCCCAACGUCUCCUGGUCUUCACUUCUGAGUUGCCUAAACUUUAGAAGAUAUAGGUUUACAACAGAUGGUGCCGUGACCCGGAUAGAGUUCCAGCUUCCUCACCUGAAUCCAGUUUGAAAACUUCAAGCUCAAACAAAGAUCUGCUUCCAGACUGCAUCUUUUGGAAUCCAGCGAAAACUUCAAGCUGAACAAAGAUUUCCAGACUGAAUUUUUCUCUCAACCAAGGUUGUGGUGAGUGCUGUCUCUAAUCCAAAAGAACCUUUAAGACCAGUACAAAUUUGUUUAUCCUCUGCGCCGUCAGAGA